rnacentral:rRNA from 1 species
AUCUAAGCACGAAACUUGCCAAGAGAUGAGUCAUCCCUGACUUUAAGUCAGUAAGGGUUGUUGUAGACUACGACGUAGAUAGGUUGGGUGUGUAAGUGAUGUGAGUCAUUGAGCUAACCAAUACUAAUUGCCCGAGAGGCUUAACUAUACAACGCUCAAG